rnacentral:tRNA from 1 species
AGUUAUUUCCUGGGGACAGUUUGUCUUGAAAAUAAAUUUAAAGUGUUCGAUUCACUUGGUAGCUU